rnacentral:misc_RNA from 1 species
GAUGAAGAACGUAGCGAAAUGCGAUACUUGGUGUGAAUUGCAGAAUCCCGUGAACCAUCGAGUCUUUGAACGCAAGUUGCGCCCGAAGCCACUAGGCCGAGGGCACGCCUGCCUGGGCGUCACACGUCGUUGCCCCCCCAUCUACUCCUUUGGGAUUGCGGGGGGGCGGAUGAUGGCCUCCCGUGCGCCUAGCCGCGCGGUUGGCAUAAAUACCAAGUCCUCGGCGACGCACGCCACGACAAUCGGUGGUUGCGAAACCUCGGUUGCCCGUCGUGUGCGUUCGUCGCGCAUCGAGGGCUCGAAAAAAUGCUCGGCUCCGGCUGGGCUUUCAACGCGACCCCAGGUCAGGCGGGGUUACCCGCUGAAUUUAAGCAUAUCAAUAAGCGGAGGA